GAUGAACGCUGGCGGCGUGCCUAAUACAUGCAAGUCGAGCGAACAGACGAGGAGCUUGCUCCUCUGACGUUAGCGGCGGACGGGUGAGUAACACGUGGAUAACCUACCUAUAAGACUGGGAUAACUUCGGGAAACCGGAGCUAAUACCGGAUAAUAUAUUGAACCGCAUGGUUCAAUAGUGAAAGACGGUUUUGCUGUCACUUAUAGAUGGAUCCGCGCCGCAUUAGCUAGUUGGUAAGGUAACGGCUUACCAAGGCAACGAUGCGUAGCCGACCUGAGAGGGUGAUCGGCCACACUGGAACUGAGACACGGUACAGACUCCUACGGGAGGCAGCAGUAGGGAAUAUUGCGCAAUGGGCGAAAGCUUGACGGAGCAACGCCGCGUGAGUGAUGAAGGUCUUCGGAUCGUAAAACUCUGUUAUUAGGGAAGAACAAAUGUGUAAGUAACUAUGCACGUCUUGACGGUACCUAAUCAGAAAGCCACGGCUAACUACGUG
rnacentral:rRNA from 1 species